rnacentral:rRNA from 1 species
GACGAACGCUGGCGGCGUGCUUAACACAUGCAAGUCGAACGGAAAGGCCCUGCUUUUGUGGGGGGCUUGAGUGGCGAACGGGUGAGUAACACGUGAGUAACCUGCCCUUGACUUUGGGAUAACUUCAGGAAACUGGGGCUAAUACCGGAUAGGAGCUCCGGCUGCAUGGUGGGGGUUGGAAAGUUUCGGCGGUUGGGGAUGGACUCGCGGCUUAUCAGCUUGUUGGUGGGGUAGUGGCUUACCAAGGCUUUGACGGGUAGCCGGCCUGAGAGGGUGACCGGCCACAUUGGGACUGAGAUACGGCCCAGACUCCUACGGGAGGCAGCAGUGGGGAAUAUUGCACAAUGGGCGGAAGCCUGAUGCAGCAACGCCGCGUGCGGGAUGACGGCCUUCGGGUUGUAAACCGCUUUCGCCUGUGACGAAGCGUGAGUGACGGUAAUGGGUAAAGAAGCACCGGCUAACUACGUG